GUCAGCAGUCGGCGCUGCUCCAUCGCCUUUCCUUUUAUCCUUUUUUGUAGCGAGGACAACAACAACAAACCAUGAGCGGACCAGGUCUUGGUCGACACCAAGUUCAAGAAUUCGAUUCGCUAAAGAUGGAUUUUUCCAGAUCCGUCCGGGUACAUUUCUUUAAAUUAUUAUAUCAUAUUUUAGCAACUUUGUUCUUCUUUUCAUUUAUACAAGUUGGCUUUGAUUUUCUGAUGUAUAAAAUGUAUAUGCAUGCUCCAUUUUGGUCUAAAAUGGAAUUAUUUGUUAUUUAUGAUCUUAAUCAUGUCCUCAUAAUUUUCUGAUUUUGUGUAUUGUUAAAAUAAUAUGAUUUGACUUGGAAUGUCAAUAUAUCUCUUGUUAUCUGUUUCUCUAUAAAUAGUAGUAUAUUCGUGAUUUUAAUAUUAUUGGAAUUGCUAAUUCUUGAUUUAAGUUGAUAAGCUGGAGUGAUAGCUGAUGCCCUUAAUUGAUUUUUUCCUUAGCUAAAUAUAGUCAUUUUGCUAUAAUGCGGUCCGACUUCAACUCUUAAAAUGGGAUUUUGUGAUUUGUGACUUGCCCUUAAUUACUGUGUUGGGAUUGUUACUUGUUUGUAUAUGAAAAAAUAUGAGAAGCUGUAUAUUUGGAACUUGAUUUGAGCUAUGUGAUAUUCCCCUUUCCUUAAAAUAAUUAUUUAUUACCUUGUGGCUGAUUGUGAAUAAUUCUCUAUUAACUAACUACUUUUUUCUUAAUUAUAGUAGGCCGAUUCCUUGCCUGUCUUCUACAUGGUAAAAUUUAUUAAAAUAUUGGACUGAUUUUACUCUCUUUGAAUAAGGAAAAUACUAAUUUAUUUGUCCCCCUAAUUUAUUCCUUUCCUUUAAGUGUUGUGCCCUCUCAUCCAGUAUAUAAGCAUGCCCCCUUUACCCUUUAGGACACACGCAAAAACCAUCAGAAAUAGCAAAAAACACUCUCAUGCUUGAAUACUCCAACGCUAAAUCACGCUUACACACUUUAAUAGUAAAAGAAUACUCUCUACUCUUGGAAAGAAAAUAAGAACUCUAGAAAAGCUUGGGAUCAUUCUUUGUGGUAUUGUUGUGUUGUUGUUUCGGUGGAUAUCUCUUUAAAACACACCAUUGCUGAUAAUUAUUUCUGCUUGAUUGGUUAGUAAUUACUUCAUUAUUUUAAAUUUCGUCUUGCAUAAUCUAUUAUGAAUAUUGUGUGUUUGAAAUAAAUAAAGGAAGCGUUCAGGUCAGUCUUCUUACCCUUGUUUCUAUGCGUGACUUUAUACUCGCGUGAUUAGUUGGAAUAUGUUUGUGUGUCUGUUCCUGCUCGUAAGUAUGAAAUAAUUAAUGUCAUGUGUGUUGGUUGAUAACUAGUAUUAUUAUCUUGUUGUCUUCUUAUAUUAUAUCUGUUAGGUAUCUCCUUUUUUAUUUUAGCAGGAUUUUGAACUUAAAGGUUCAAGAUGUUGAAGAGUCACCAUGGGAAGAAAACACUAGUCAAGCUGAAUUUAUUUAAUCGUGUUUUGUACAUAAUUUAAUUAUUAUUAUUAUUUUAUAAUAAUUUGUAUAACUCUCAACUCUGCUCUAUAUAUGAUAUAACUUGGGGGAUCGUUUAAAAGGGGGAGGUGACUUACGUGCUAAAUGUUAUUUUAUCGCAACUUACUUGUUGUUAGAGAGCAUGCCUAUAGGAGUGUGAUUUAAUUAUUCGAUCAUUCCUCGCUCUAAAUCUAAUUAAAAUAAAAAAAAUGAUCUUGCUGA
rnacentral:lncRNA from 1 species